GAUGAACGCUGACAGAAUGCUUAACACAUGCAAGUCGAUGGGGAAGUGGUGCUUGCACCAUGGUAACCAUGGCGGACGGGUGAGUAACACGUAAGGAACUUACCUGCGGGACCGGGAUAACAGCAGGAAACUGCUGACAAGACCGGAUAAGGUCAUUAAGCUGCAUAGCUUAGUGAUGAAAGGAGACGCCUGCGGAGAGCCUUGCGUCCUAUUAGCUAGUUGGAGGGGUAACGGCCCACCAAGGCGAAGAUAGGUAGCCGGCCUGGGAGGGUGGACGGCCACAAGGGGACUGAGAUACGGCCCUUACUCCUACGGGAGGCAGCAGUGGGGAAUAUUGGACAAAGGGGGCAACCCUGAUCCAGCAAUUCUGUGUGCACGAAGACGGUUUUCGGAUUGUAAAGUGCUUUCAGCAGGGAAGAAGGAAGUGACGGUACCUGCAGAAGAAGCGACGGCUAAAUACGUG
rnacentral:rRNA from 1 species